GAAAUGCUAAAGGGAUUUCUUCAUUCUGAAAGAAAAGGAUGUUAAUAAACAAUAAGAAAUCACCUAAAGGUAGAAAACUCACUGGUAACUGUAAGCACAGAGAAAAACAGAAUAGUAUAACAUUGUUAUCACAGUGUGUAAACUUCUCUUGAGUUAAGUAGAAACACUAAACAGUGAACCAGUAAAUCAUAACUACAACUUUUCAAGACAUAGACAGUACAAUAAGACAUAAAGAGAAAAAACAAAAAGUUAAAAAGCAAGAGGACAAAGUUAUAGAGUUUUAAUAUUAUUUUUGAAUGUUUAUGAAAGCAGUGUUAAGUUGUCAUCAGUUUAAAAUAAUUAGUUAUAAUAUUUGCAAGCCUCAUGGUAACCUCAAAUCAAAAAAUAUACAACAGAUACACAAAAAAUAAAAAGCAAGAAAUUGAAGUGUACUGCAAGAGCAAAUCAUCUUCACUAAAAGGAAAACAGAAAGGAAGGAAAGAAGAAAGAGAAGACCGUCAGUCAACCAGAAAAAAAAAUAAUAAAAUGGCAGCAGUAAGUCCCUAACUGUCAAUAACAACAUUGAAUGUAAAUGGACUAAACUCUCCAAUGAAAAAACAUAGAGUGGCUGAAUGGAUUAAAAAAAAGAAAACAAGACCCAAUGAUCUGUUGCCUACAGGAAGCACACUUCAGCUAUAAAGAUACACACAAAAUGAAAAUAAAGGGCUGGAAAAAGAUAUUUUAUCCCAAUAGAAACCAAAAAGAAGCAGUAGCUGUACUUAGACAAAACAGAUUUAAAGGCAAGAACUAAGAAAAGACAAAGCAGGUUAUUACAUAAAGAUAAAGGGGUCAGUUCAGUAAGAGCAUAUAAUGAUUGUGAAUACAUGUGCACCUAACACUGGAGCACCCAGAUAUAUAAAGCAAAUAUUAGUAGAGCUAAAGAGAGAGGCUGGGUGUGGUGGCUCAUGUCUGUAAUCCUAGCACUUUGGGAGGCCAAAGUGGGAGGAUCACUUGAGCCCAGGAGUUUGAGACCAGCCUGGGUAACAAAGUGAGACCCCAUGUCUCCAAAAAAAAAGCCAGGCAUAGUGGCACCAGCUAUACAUAAGGCUGAAGUGGAAGGAUUGCUUGAUCCCAGGAGGUUAAGGCUGCGGUGAGCUGUGUUUGGACCACUGCAUUCCACCCUGGGCAAAAGCAAAAGAGUAAAUCUUGUCUCGCAAAAAAAAAAAAAAAAAAAAAAAAAAGGCAGACCUCAAUAUAACAAUAGCUAGAGACUUAAAGAGCCCAUUUUCAGCAUUGGACAGAUCUCCCAGACAGAAAAUCAACAAAGAAACAUCAGACUUAAUCUGCACUGUAGAACAAAUGGACCUAAUAGAUAUUUAUAGAACAUUUUAUCCAGUGGCUUCAGAAUACACAUUUUUCUCCUCAACGCAUGAAUCAUUCUCAAAGGACAGGCCAUGUGUUGGGUCACAAAAUGAGUCUUAAAACACUCAAAACAUUGAAACAAUGUCAAGCAUCUACCCUGACCACAAUGGAGUAAAACUUAAAAUCAAUAAUGAGGAAUUUUGGAAACUAUACAAACACCUGGAAUUUAAACAGUGUGCUCCUAAAUGACCAGUGGCCAAUGAAAAAUUAAGAAGGAAAUUGAAAAUAUUAUUGAAACAAAUAAUAAUGGAGACAUAACAUUCCAAGACCUAUGGGAUACAGCAAAAGCAGUACUAAUGGAAAUUUAGAUCUGUAAGUGCCUACAUCAGAAAAGAGGAAAAACUUCAAAUAAGCAAUCUAAUGACGCAUCUUAAAGAAUUAGAAAAAGCAGGAGCAAAGCAAACCCAAAAUUAGUAGAAGAAAAGAAAUAAUAAAGAUCAGCACAGAAAUAAGUGAAUUUGAAGAAACAUACAAAAGAUCAACAAAACAAAAAGUUGGUAUUUUGAAAAGAUAAACAAAGUUGACAAAUCAUUAGCCAGACUAAGAAAAAAAGAAGACCCAAGUAAAUAAAAUCAGAGAUGAAGAAGGAACAUUACAAUGAAUACUACAGAAAUUCAAAGGAUCAUUAGUGUCCACUAUGAGCAACUAUAUGCCAAUAAUUUGGAAAAUUUAGAAGAAAUUGAUAAAUUUCUAGACACAUAGAACCUACAAAGAUUGAACCAUCAAUCAAAAACCUGUAUAGACCAAUACAAGUAAUGUGACCGAAGCCAUAAUAGUCUCCCAGUAAAGAAAAGCGCAGGACCUCAUGGCUUUGCUACUGAAUUCUACCAAACAUUUGAAGAAGAACUAAUACCAAUCCUACUCAAACUGUUCUGAAAAAUGGAGGAGGGAAUACUUCCAAAUUCAUUCUGUGAGGCCAGAAUUACCCUGAUACCAAAACCAGAGAAAGACACAUCAAAAAAACAAAAUUAUAAACCAGUAUCUCUGAUGAAUAUUGAUGGAAAAAUCCUGAAUGAAAUAGUAGCAAACCAAAUUCAACAAUACAUUUGAAAGAUCAUUUAUCAGCCAGGCACGGUGGUUCACAUCUGUAAUCCCAGCACUUUGGGAGGCUGAGGCAGGCAGAUCACCUGAGGUGAUCAUCUGAGGUCAGGAGUUCGAGACCAGUCUGGCCAACAUGCUGAAACCCUGUCUCUACUAAAAAUACAAAAAAAUUAACCAGGCGUGGUGGCACACACCUGUAAUCCCAUCUACUCAGGAGGCUGAGGCAGGAGAAUCACUUGGACCUGGGAGGCAGAGGUUGCAGUGAGCUGAGAACACACGACUGUACUCCAGCCUGGGCAACAGAGUGAGACUCCAUCUCAAAAAAAAAAAAAAAGGCCGGGCGCGGUGGCUCACGCCUGUAAUCCCAGCACUUUGGGAGGCCGAGGCGGGCGG
rnacentral:lncRNA from 1 species